UAGGGAAUAUUGGUAAUGGGCGAAAGCCUGAACCAGCAACGCCGCGUGUGCGAUGAAGGCCUUCGGGUUGUAAAGCACUUUUUGAGGGGAUGAGGUAGGACAGUACCCUCAGAAUAAGUCUCGGCUAACUACGUGCCAGCAGCCGCGGUAACACGUAGGAGACAAGCGUUAUUCGGAUUUACUGGGCGUAAAGCGCGUGCAGGCGGUUCUGUAAGUUGGGUAUGAAAUCUCCUGGCUUAACUGGGAGAGGCUGCUCAAAACUGCAGGACUCGAGAAUGGGAGAGGGAGGUGGAAUUCCGGGUGUAGUGGUGAAAUGCGUAGAUAUCCGGAGGAACACCGAGUGGCGAAAGCGGCCUCCUAGACCAUUUCUGACGCUCAGACGCGAAAGCUAGGGUAGCAA
rnacentral:rRNA from 1 species